AUUGAACGCUGGCGGCAUGCUUUACACAUGCAAGUCGAACGGUAACAGGCCGCAAGGUGCUGACGAGUGGCGAACGGGUGAGUAAUGCAUCGGAACGUGCCCAGUCGUGGGGAUAACGCAGCGAAAGCUGCGCUAAUACCGCAUACGAUCUAUGGAUGAAAGCGGGGGACCGUAAGGCCUCGCGCGAUUGGAGCGGCCGAUGUCAGAUUAGGUAGUUGGUGGGGUAAAGGCUCACCAAGCCGACGAUCUGUAGCUGGUCUGAGAGGACGACCAGCCACACUGGGACUGAGACACGGCCCAGACUCCUACGGGAGGCAGCAGUGGGGAAUUUUGGACAAUGGGCGCAAGCCUGAUCCAGCAAUGCCGCGUGCAGGAAGAAGGCCUUCGGGUUGUAAACUGCUUUUGUACGGAACGAAACGGUCCUGGUCAAUACCCGGGGCUAAUGACGGUACCGUAAGAAUAAGCACCGGCUAACUACGUGCCAGCCGCCGCGGUAAAAC
rnacentral:rRNA from 1 species